AAUUUCGAACAGAGAUAUUAGAAUUGGGGUCUAGGGUUAAUUUCUAAUCGUUGCUCGAGAGAGGGGGUUAGAAAUACAUUAGGGUUCUUGCUUUUAAAUAGGGGAAAAUUAAUCGAAGUAAUUGGAAUUCGUUGAAUCAUAAUUGAGAGUUAGGUGAAGUCAAUCCCGAGGCCUUCUCAUUUGAUUAUUUGCAUUAUCCAAUUUUAUCGCAUCCAAUAACGUUAGAUUUAGUUUAUAUCAUUCACUCAUAUAACAUUCAUUCAUAAAAUAAUCAAACUGUCUAAAUAAAGUAGAAAUUUACAUAAUUAUAGUACUUGAUGAAAAUUAAAUUAUAAUCCUUGUGGGUUCGAC
rnacentral:lncRNA from 1 species